UGUGAAAUAGUUAGGCGCAAAUGAUACAAAUAUAAUAAAAAAAUAAAAAUGAAAGCGCAAAUAUCAGUUCACUUUAUCGAAUGACCUCAAUCCUGCUUGAAGAAAAGGGGGCAAAUGGCACACAAAAGUCAAAAUCAAACCUUAUCUUUGUUAGAACCGUAGCUUCGUAGAGUCAAGAUUGUUGUUGAAGACGUGACACGGGUGAUCCAUGUUCUUAAGGUCUUUAUCGUCCCUACCACGAUCGGUUUGCUAUGGGUUGCAGACGAUAUACCUCCAGGAUAUAUGUCAAGUCUUGGUGAAUAAUCCUUGAUAGCAAUUCACAG
rnacentral:lncRNA from 1 species